AUUUUGGACAAUGGGCGAAAGCCUGAUCCAGCAAUGCCGCGUGCAGGAUGAAGGCCCUCGGGUUGUAAACUGCUUUUGUACGGAACGAAAAGCCUCUGGUUAAUACCCCUGGUGUCAUGACGGUACCGUAAGAAUAAGCACCGGCUAACUACGUGCCAGCAGCCGCGGUAAUACGUAGGGUGCGAGCGUUAAUCGGAAUUACUGGGCGUAAAGCGUGCGCAGGCGGUCGUGUAAGACAGAGGUGAAUUCCCCGGGCUCAACCUGGGAACUGCCUUUGUGACUGCAAGGCUGGAGUGCGGCAGAGGGGGAUGGAAUUCCGCGUGUAGCAGUGAAAUGCGUAGAUAUGCGGAGGAACACCGAUGGCGAAGGCAAUCCCCUGGGCCUGCACUGACGCUCAUGCACGAAAGCGUGGGGAGCAAAC
rnacentral:rRNA from 1 species